UUGAAGACUCAUCUGGUCUACUGCCUCAUCCUGCGAUUUUAAAUAUUGUUUUUAAAAAAUGAGACCAUCUUCCUCCAAGACAGAAGGGCGACGUUCCUGAACCAGCCAGGGCUAUAACAUGUCGUGGACUUUAGUAUGAUUCAGAAGGGGGUCGAUGCCAGAAUAUUAUUAUUGAUCUCUUUUGCAGUCCCUUUACAAGCAAAUCUUGUUCUCCCUAAGUUAACUCGGUGGAGAUAUGAGAUAUUAAAGAACGGAGUUUAAGGAUCUGUCCACAGCCAAAUGCUGCAGGCUAAUACCUUACAAGAUUGAGGGACGCGGAGAAGCACAGUGGCUUCAUCGGAAAAGGUUUUGUAGCUGCUGUACAACGAGGGACCAGAACCCUGGACUUUCACUCAUGGAAUGUCCGUUUGCCGAAUUGUGUUCAAGAUUUCUGGUGAGGCAAGAACUGUCAAACAUUUGAUCCAUGUUGGAGUGCCAAUGGGCCCGAUCUUAUUGAGAGGGACAGCAAAAGAAAUGGGCAAAGAAAGGCCACUUCAACUAUGGGAAAUCACUUACUGGAGAAGUUAUCCUUUGUACCAUGUAUUCUUAAGGAGAAAGAGAUGCUCAAAAUCAUUGAAAGAAGACAUGUAGGUUGGAAUAAAUGAACUCAAGUCUGAGGAUGAGUCAUUUGGCAGAGUUAUGGAUAUUAAUAAGAUCUAGAAGUAUUUUAUCAUUAUGAAAAGGGUUAAGUUUCUCAUGCUUAGUGACAGCAAUGGGGAAGUAGGGAAAACUACACAUGAAGUCUGCAGCUGCAGUCACUGCAAAACUUGUUAUGAUCUUUAUCUUUUCAAAUUUCAAAUGUAUUGUCUCGAAGGGAGUCAAAUUCUGCUGUUGAGCCGAAUGUAAUGACAGAAAAAUCUAAUUCUUGAGAGAAUGCACUCAAGUGCAAUAGUUACUUCAUACUGAAUGAAGAACUUCUGAGAAACAAAACAUUUUUGGGGGAUUUUGCUAUAUACAAUAUGACUCCAAAGUUGUUCAUGGUUUCACUUUUGGUCAUCUGAAUGAUUAUGUGGUUGAGAAAAUUAUGCACUUUUUUAAAGCUCGUGGAGGAAGCCAGAGGAGCCAGCUCAAUAAAAUUCCUAAAGAUGAUAUUUCUCCCACUCACUCCCUCUAGUUACUGAAGGACUCUGGUGAAUAUUCAGCCCUACCCCAAUUACCCUGUUUGGUGAAUUGUUACCAGAUGUGCAACAGGAAUGGCAUAUUGUUAGAAUGCGAUAAUCAUCAUACUGUGGAUUGAUUGGUGCAAAUAAAAAUGUAG